UACGGGGGGAGCAAGCGUUGUUCGGAUUUACUGGGCGUAAAGGGCGCGUAGGCGGUCAGCACAAGUCAGUUGUGAAAUCUCCGGGCUUAACUCGGAAAGGUCAACUGAUACUGUGCGACUAGAGUGCAGAAGGGGCAACUGGAAUUCUCGGUGUAGCGGUGAAAUGCGUAGAUAUCGGGAGGAACAUCAGUGGCGAAGGCGGCUGCCUGGCCCAAUACUGACACUCAGGUGCGACAGCGUGGGGAGCAAACAGG
rnacentral:rRNA from 1 species